rnacentral:lncRNA from 1 species
CUGUCUCCUGCCUUUGCUUUUUGUUUUUGGGGCUGUUGCAUGCCGACCUGUUUCUUAGAGUUGUGACAGCCAUCCUGUGGCCGUGGAGCAAAAAGUCUGAGGAUAAAAGUCACCCACUGAGGAGAGGGAGUGGAAGGAUGAAAAGUGGUCAGGUCCUUGAUGGCGCCAUUAAACCACAAACCAAACUAGGACUGCCAGCCAAAUGCAUGUUGACUGAUACUCAGACUGAGUCCCUGGAACCUGUGAUUUGUAAGAGAGAGAGAGAGAAUCCGGGCCUAGGAAAAAGAUUUGGGUCAAGCCCAAGUCAGCAACUAUCUAGGGCCCUGCUGAGAGUCAUCUCAUUAGAACAAAAGAUGCUGUUGUCACCCUCAUCACUCAGGAAGUUCCAAGGACUUUAGGAGCUCUGUUCCUGGAGAAAAAGACUAAACAUCUUAUAUGCCACACCUGGAUAUUUUUGUAAUAUCACCUCAGGCCCCGUAUAUCACAGACCAAACUUACCAUAUACCCCGUGUCCCUUUCCUGCCCUGGCACAC